AACAACUAAGCUUAAUUCGGCACUAGUUAGGGUCAGGUAAAUAAAUUCUAUGCAUGCAUUCAUCAUUCUGCUCUAUUCAGACGCAACUCAUUGCAAUAUCACAGCCACCCUAGGUCUCAUUUAAAACUUACAAGCUGGUACUCUUGGAGGAAGAUAAAAACCCUUCAAACCCUUUUAGUACAUUUCCACAUUGGCUAGGAUCCUGUAGGUAAAUAGUCUCCAUGUCAUAAACCUGUUUUUCGAGGUUCCGUAGAUCUUCGUGAAGUUUAGCUCUUUUUGACAAGAGAGUAGCGAGCACUGCCGAGGGAUUGGAGGAUGUUCGUUGCCCUUCGGCUUCCAUUGAAAUUUUGUGGGAGAUGAAGAAACUGUUUAUAUAGG
rnacentral:misc_RNA from 1 species